rnacentral:lncRNA from 1 species
GGAGUGUUUCGUCAUCAAUAAAAGAUACACAGCCAUUGAAUAUUUAAAUAUAGUGAUCUGAUUCUUCUUCUGAGACUUACCGGUCCGGUCUUGUCUUUUCCAUCCUUAAUUGAGCUGAAUCGGGUGUAUUCAUUCUCAUUCUUUUUUCUAAAAUGUGAAUAUGUGAUUUAAGCUUCAUUUUGUUUUUGCGUAAGUGAUUUAAGCUUCAUACACUUGUAGAAUAUACAAAGGUUCUAAGUUGGUUCAUGAAUCAUCACCAACCAAUAGCUAGUUUUCCUGGCCAUCUAAUUAAGGCGUUCCUUGCUUUUGACAUGGCAAUUAUCAUUUUGUAACUCAUCGGCUUGCUUCUAUACCAAACACUUAAACAAUCCCCACCGGUAUAUAGUAAAAAUGAAUGUGAAACCAUGGUGGAAUGUUUUUUUUUUCUUUCUAUUGCCAACUCCCUGAAAGCCCUUGAAUUAUUAUCCUACUUGAAAGCAUAUUUUUUCUGCAAAAUUUUAGAGUAAAGUAAAAAGAUUAAUCAUUUGGAACUUGGUAAAUUGGUAUUACAAUUAGAGUUUUAGAGUAAACAAUAAUUCGAAAUUAUUGUUUGAGUACCUUUACUUUUCUUUGUUUCCUCAAAAUAUGUAGGUCGGCAACGUGAUGCCCUUAUGAUUAGCAACUGCAUCUCUGAAUUAGUCAUGUUGUUUACUUUGCGUCUUCCUGUUUUCUCUUACAAAUUCAAGGCGUGAAGCAUAAUAAAGACCUUCACUAUCAGAUUGCCAAAUAUCACUCUGCAACUCUUUGAACUCUGCAUAUAUUGCCAAAUACAUAAACUAUCAGAUUAAAAAAGAGUAAAUGCGAAUCUUCUCAAUUCUCAAAAUUCAAGACAGGGAAUUAUCCAAUGACCUAAGCAAUGAUUAGGUAAAGAUGAUAAAGUUCCAAUCACCUAGAAUUCCCAGCCCCUCCGUUCCAAUGAUUAGGUAAAGAUGAGUCGUCUAUCUCUCCUGAGGGAUACUUGAAUAAAUUACUAAGACACAAACAGUAAGAAAUUCUUUGCCCAUGGCUGAUUCGAUGAGAAACCAGACGUGAGCAAGCAAGAAAACAUAAAUAUUAAAUUGUAAAAGAUUAAACGGAAGAUUGAAAGUGAACCUAAGAAUCUGAUUUGGAGCCACGCUUUAAUUCUUGGUUUUUAAGAAAAAUAACGAAUGAAAAGAAGCCAAACUAUGAGGAU